UGCUUCUUAUCCCAUCUUUACUUGGAAUACAAUUAGGCGCCAAAAUUAUAGAUUCCAUUGUUAAGCCAGAUCAUAAAGGACAUACAGCUCCGAUUACAGAUCAAUCGACUCCGAAGCUACAAACAACGAUAACAACAACCAGACGAGCUAUUACUACCACAACUGAGCAGCCUGCAACAACAGCAAAACCAUGUGUAGAUGAACCGUUAGUGAACUGUCACGACAAGGACAUAUGUCAGUCACCUUUUAGAGACAGCUGUUCAUUAAGUUGUGGAGACUGUGUUCCAGUAACGACCAGGAAGCCUUGUGUUGACAACAGAUUUGUACAAUGUCAGGACCAAUCAGCUUGCUCGUCAAAAUAUAGACAAUACUGCCCUGAAACCUGUGGUCUUUGUGGUUAUAAUAAUAUAAAAUUGCAAGUGACUUCACCAAAAACAGUGACAACAACUAAAUCACCUACAACAACAGGAUGGUUACACGUAAAAGGGAAACGAUGACCAAUACUGGUUACAGACAUAUAGUAUGCUGAAUGAAGGCAGU